rnacentral:rRNA from 1 species
UACGGAGGGUGCAAACGUUGCUCGGAAUCAUUGGGCGUAAAGCGCGUGUAGGCGGCAAGUUAAGUCGAGUGUGAAAUCCCUGGGCUCAACCCAGGAAGUGCGCUCGAAACUGGCUCGCUAGAGUACGGGAGAGGGUAGCGGAAUUCCCGGUGUAGAGGUGAAAUUCGUAGAUAUCGGGAGGAACACCAGUGGCGAAGGCGGCUACCUGGACCGAUACUGACGCUGAGACGCGAAAGCGUGGGUAG